AGGCCGGUGGUGUAAGGCGAACAUCGCUACCCGGAAAGCAGAAGAUGCGGGUUCGAGUCCCGUCUGGCGCA
rnacentral:tRNA from 1 species